AGAUUGAACGCUGGCGGCAGGCCUAACACAUGCAAGUCGAGCGGCAGCACGGGUACUUGUACCUGGUGGCGAGCGGCGGACGGGUGAGUAAUGCCUAGGAAUCUGCCUGAUAGUGGGGGAUAACGUUCGGAAACGGACGCUAAUACCGCAUACGUCCUACGGGAGAAAGUGGGGGAUCUUCGGACCUCACGCUAUCAGAUGAGCCUAGGUCGGAUUAGCUAGUUGGUAGGGUAAAGGCCUACCAAGGCUACGAUCCGUAACUGGUCUGAGAGGAUGAUCAGUCACACUGGAACUGAGACACGGUCCAGACUCCUACGGGAGCAGCAGUGGGGAAUAUUGGACAAUGGGCGAAAGCCUGAUCCAGCCAUGCCGCGUGUGUGAAGAAGGUCUUCGGAUUGUAAAGCUAACUUUAAGGUUGGGAAGGUAAGGGCUAAGUUUAACCUAAUUACGUUAGUGUUUUAGACGUUUACCGAACAGAAGUUAAGCAACCGGCUUAAACUCUAGUUG
rnacentral:rRNA from 1 species